rnacentral:rRNA from 1 species
UACGUAGGGGGCAAGCGUUGUCCGGAAUCAUUGGGCGUAAAGAGCGCGUAGGCGGCCCUGUAAGUCCGCUGUGAAAGUCAAGGGCUCAACCCUUGAAUGCCGGUGGAUACUGCAGGGCUAGAGUCCGGAAGAGGCGAGUGGAAUUCCCAGUGUAGAGGUGAAAUUCGUAGAUAUUGGGAAGAACACCAGUGGCGAAGGCGGCUCACUGGCCCGUAACUGACGCUGAGGUGCGAAAGCGUGGGGAGCAAACAGG